UUUUUAAGUAGGUUCCAUGCCCAAUGUGAGGCUUAAACUUACGACUGUGAGAUCAAGAGUCAUACGCUGCACUGUUUGAAUCAGCCAGGUGCCUUGAUAACUUCUCAGGCUUCCUCAGAGGACUCAGGGGAUGGGCAGUGAAAGAGAGGCCAAGACAGAGGGUUGCUGGAGCAAUUAGCCAUGAUGUACUAAGAACCAGUCUGUGUUUGACACGGAGCUCAAGUGCCUCUGUUCUUUCUCCCAGAUGUUCAUUCCUCACCCUGAGGUGCCUAGGUUUGCUGUGUGAAGAGAGCCUAACAGAAAAGUUAACACCAUCGUUGCUCACAUCUGCAAAAAAAGGAAAUCCUGUCCUGAGUUUCUUUACUCAUGCCAUUCUCUGCUGGAGAGAAGUCUCAUGUGGGCAUAUCUGAGUGACAGAGGACUCUGCUCCAGCUGCAGAUGAAUUUGGAAAUAUGAGAAGGCAGAAGCUGAUUAACUUAUUCAAGGGCAAAACAUUCUUACUAAUUCGCCAUUCUCAAAAGACUAACUAGAACUUGUUGACUGAGAAUCUAGCCUUUCAAGCAUACUAUUUUUUAAAAGCACUCUGAAAUCUAUCCACACCCUUUUCUUUUUAUUCAAAAAGGACUUAAUAAAUGUCAGUUCAGGAUGUCACUAUUACUGGUCCCUCAACCCCCAUCAGGAAGUUGGCCUGUCAGUUUCCUUCUACCAUGCUCAAACUUUGAGGAUAGCAUGGCUUCCGCUCAAAAAAUUUUCCCUGCAUACAGGCAGAUGCUUGAUUACAUAAUAAUAAUAAUAAAAUAAACAAUAUGACAAUGUUAUGCAGUUCCUUCUUCCAGCUUCCUAGGAGUUUUGUUUCCAAAUUUACCUAGACUUCAAUUGAAAGUUUCAUCAUAAAAUGGUAAGUCAGGCUUCAUCUUCCAUAUUGAGAAGUGUUCUUUAAGAACACUAUAUAAAUGCAAAUAAAUAAAUGUGUACAAGACACUAUCUGGCAUCUAUAUGUAUAUAUAGCUACAACUAUACAUACACAGGUGUUAUGUUCCUAUUGCAGCUGUAGCAAACUAUCAAAUCAAAGCGAUUUCAAAUUACACAAAUUUUUUAUCUUACAGUUCUGUAGGUCAGAAACCGAAAACAGCUUCUACUGGACCCAAAUCAAGCUUUUGGCAGGUCUAUGCUCUCUCUGGAAGCUCUAGGGAGGAAUCUGUUUACUUGCCUGUUCCAGUCUCUAGAGGAUACCCACAUUCCUUGACUCGUAUCUCCCAUCAUCAAAAUCAGCAAUAGUCACUGUCUCAUAUGACAUUAUUCUGACAUUGACUCUUCUUCUGUCUCUUUCAUUUUUAAGAAAUGUUGUGAUUUCUUUGGGUCAAACUGGAUAACCCAGGAUAAUCUCCCUACCCCAAAAUUCUUAACGAUAAUCACGUCUGUAAUAUUCCUCUUGUCUGUAAAGUAAGAUAUUCACAGAUUCCAGGAAUUAAGAUGUAGACAUAUUAUGAGGGCUGUGAUGUGGAAAUUGUUGGGGUUCAGAGCCGAUGGCCAAGAAAGAAUUCUUGAGACGCGUUCCAUGCAAAAGGUAGUUUUAUUAAAUCGCAGGGACAGGACACAUGGUCAGAAUGAGCUGCCCUGGGGUUGUGACAGGUGGCUAGAUUAUAUACUUUCAAGUGGGAGGGGGUUAGGGGUAACAUAAGUCUCUAUAGAAUUUUAGAAGCUAGGUUUCUAGGACCUUAAUGGGACCAGCUGCUGUGAGGAAAAUGUCAUCGAUUAGUAUUUAGUAAAACCUCAGUCAUGAGACUCUUCAGAUGUGUAUCAGUGGGGCAUAAACUUGGAGUAUGAUUGCGAACAUCUAUCUUGGGAGGGUUAGAGAUAAAAGAAGUUUCCAAAGGAAUUUUUAUAUGUUAAAGUAGACUUACAGGAUCCUGGGGGUUUAAGAUAAUGUUAAACUAAGAGCCUUUUGCUCUUAGCAAAGUGUCAUCAUCUGGGCAGCUGAGCUCCUAAGAGAAGGUCACUCUGCCUGAUUAAAAGACUUGUUAAUGGGCUGUAGAGAGUAAGGAAAUUUAAUUUUUUCUUUUGCCUUUGUUUCCACAUCAGGCAUUAUUCUGUAUGUGUAUGUGUAUUCUAUAAUACAUUUUUAAAAAUCUGCAAACUGGAAGUAUUUAAUGGGCAACAGUUUUUGUGUGAAGAAUCUAAUUCUUGCCUGAAAGUAAAAAAUUGGAAGACGUGUGUUUUAUUUUUAAGUCCACAGGGUGCUAUUUAAUAAAUGACUGCUCCAGUGAACUGGAAGGUCUACCUUUAAAUAAGCAUUAGUUCUUUCAUAUUACUAGAAUGUUAGAAGAGAAAUUAUAAGAAAAAUGGUGCUCCAGGGUUGGAUAUUUGAAUAAAAUACAUGCAAAAUAUAUGGCAAUAUAAAUACUAUACUAACCUUAAAGUAAAUGUUAUACAUAAACAAAUAUUUCAUUCACCAAUAUGUUUUUCUACUACAGUUUAAAAUAAAUAGAUAAUCGGGCUAUUCCUCAAAAUACUAAGUAAACAAAGGCAUCUUGUGUGUAUGUGUGUGUAUAUAUGUAUUUUUUUCCAGGAAUAUUUCAAAAAGCAGAUGUACAAUAUCCUGUUUCUAAAAACUGUUAUUUCUGUUUGUGUAUGAGUACAAAUCAUAUAGUUGUCCCAGUGUCUUCGAUGUGAUUUGAUUUAGGGUCCAAGAAUGAAUGGUCAACAAAGAAUUCUUGAGACAUUUUUGGUACAAAAAAGAGUGGUUUUAUUAAAGCACAGGGAUGGGAUCCUUGGGCAGAAAGAGCUACGGAUAGUGAGGAGCAAUUGGUUAUACAGUUUUAAGUUGGGGAGAGUAGCGACAAAAGGAUUCCAGAAGCAUUUUCAUAUGUUGAAGAAGACUUAAGGAUCCUGGAGGCCCCGCUGGGGUCAAGUUAAGUUUGCUUUUUUGCCUUUAGGCAAAGCAUUAGCAUUAAGAUAGUUGGAGUUCCAAAGAAAAGGCCUCCUCGGCAGGUCUCAUAUAUUUGUCAAUGGGCUGCAAGCUACAAGGAAAUUUAAUUUUAUCUACCUUUCCUUUUGCCUUUGUUCUCUACAAAGUCUUUAGUAAUUCAUAAUUUCUUUGACAAAAUCAUACAUGAAAAAUUUGUAGUCAAGCCCUUUUCCAUUUCAAAAGGCUAUUAAAAUCCACCUGGAUCCACCUGGAACAGGUAAAUAUUGAAUUAAAAUCAGUUUUUAAAUCUUCAAGGCAAAUAUAGGUGAAUAACUUAAGAACAUCUUAAAUGGGGAGAAAAAUAGCAACCUAAAACUCUACAGGCAGAGAAAGUACUUUAGCUAACCUUCAAAUUAAACAAUAGAAAAUUACCGAUUACAAACAAAAUUACCCAUUUUGCAUACGUAAUUACAUGGGUUUUAUUUUAUUUUUUUUGCAUCAUUAGAUACAACUUAGGAAAUUUAGCCUUAGCAUUUGCCUAUUUUGAUCAGAAAUAUAUAAAUAUACAAAAGACUUGCCCUAAUACUAUUAUGCCUGAAUUUUCCUUCAAAUCACUGAUUUAAUGCAAAACAAAUUGGUCCUGUUGCUUCAUUGCGCUAGUCAUUUCUUUCUUAU